GCAGAGAGACAGAGGGAGAGAGGAAGGCAGGAGGGAAAUGGAACAACAACAACAACAACAAACCCACAGAAAAAUCAUUCUGCAGACUCGCAAGUGAAAACAGCCAGUUAUCAUUGCUCUCCAUGACUGCAUGGCUGCACUGUCCUGACCCUGCCACUGGAGACCUCAGAGUGUGCUGUGCCCCGUGACCUGGGAAACUCUUCUCACAGCCACCACUGGUACCAUCAGAACAGGACAUCCCCAUGUCCUAAUUCUUAAGUCAUUAACCCUAGGUUUAAAGUCCUCAGCAGAUGCAUGUCAUUGGAUGAGCCCAGAUCACCUGCCAUAAUUUAGAUAUCAGGAAUAUAGAAGAUAAGGAUCUAUAGAUUUUGAGAAUCUGUAGUGAGGAGGACUUGGCCUGUGAUCAAGGUACAGAAAGCAGGGCAACCCUAAAGUCCAGAAGUGGGUUCAAAGCUAAGAGGGUAAGAAACCCUAUCAUUUUUAUGUCCUUGCCAUUGCUAUGAUAUGGGCCUAGUGCAAUUGCACCCGCUUUGAGUCAACAUGACCACUCAGCACUCACUUAGCCUCUGCUUCCAGAGGUCUUUGUGUUAACAAAAUGCUGCUAGCAUUAGGCUCUGACAGUACCCCUUUAAUGCUUGGCCUCAUUGUUUGGAGGUAUUGGGUCUCUGUAGUCUAUGUUUUCUUUGCAUUCCUGGCCCAUCCUGCUCAUGGUGCUUAGUGUAUAGUACUGGAGUCAGAUGUUCCUCUUUCCCACUGUCCACAAAACUCCUUGACAAUAGCUAGGUCCCUGGGACUACCUCCUCCAGAUCCGACAUAGUAUAAAUCACAUAGCGAGAGUUCAAGAAUGUUUGCUUAAUGAGAAGCAGGUGGCUGGCCGGGAAGUAGAAUUCCACCAUUGCACAUUAUGACCAUCCAUGUGUGGCGAGUCUUCAAGAAAUCUGUUGGUUGUAGGGAGGCUGAAGCCUAUUUUAUUUGUCAAGGUAGCUGGCUGUGGCAGGGAUCUAAUAGCUUGAAAAGAUCUGGUGUUAAUGGAACUUAGUCAGUUUUAAAGAUGUAUUUGAUAUUGUUCUUUCGUAUGAUCAUUGGACAAUCAUGAUUGGUUCCAGGGCUGGCGCGGGGUGGAGAAGACACCUUCCUCAGUGUAACCAGAGAUGAGGGGCACCUUACAGGCCAAGGGGUAGCGUGUGUGCCCCUCACCGUACAGUAUGAGCACGUGCUGUGGAGACUGAGCUGGGAGAACCAACCCACGCUGGGAACUUAGAAAGUCCUGCUGGAGGAGGCAUUUUCCACUAGCACUUCUGGAAGACUGGAGCUGGCAAGGACUUUAUCAGAGGAAGGACAUCAGGAGGUUGUGUGAGAAGGAGAGGGACAGGGAUGUGUGGCAGCACCUGGUGACUGUGCACAGAGCUGGAGCCCACCUCAGGGGCCUGAGUGGGCAGAGCCGACCUAGGGACUUUGGGUGACCCUUGAUGCCAUCCUGAGCAUCCUUUGUAGGAAAUGGGGUGCCACUGAUGUUUGCAGGACUGUAGGGAAGGAAAAGUAAUUUUCUGUCUUUCAUGGUUUUUAGCUGUGAUGCCCUAGAACAAAAGACAGAUUAACAAGAGAACAACAAACAGAAGUUUAUUAACAUUUAUGCCUUAUGCAUCCAUGGGGAAAAAAACCUCAGAGAGAUGAGUAAAUAUCUGGGGUAGAUCACAGAGGAAACGUUUGAACUUUAGGGUUCAAUGUCCCCUUUGAGACAAGGUGACUAGAAAAUGCACCCUCAACAAAGGUCACAUUUGUUGUGCAGGCUGAAGUCCAGGGUUUCUCCAUUGCUUUAGAGCCUCUAAGGAUUUAGCCAUCACCUUCCUGGUGGGAAGAGGAAGAGAUACUUACAAAGGAGGUUGUGUGUUUUUAUUUUUGUUUUCUUUUUAGUAGAUGUAAAUUUCUCUUACAAAAGGGCAACUUUUCAGCUUCUCAAAAUGACCAGCUCAAAACCAUCAGUACAUAAAACAUUUUGUGUUAAAGAAAUGCAUGGGGGUGGCGGAUUUCAGUCUCCUGGAGUCACGUUUUGGGAUGCUGUGUCCUAAACCCCAUCCAGGAUGGAAUGAUCACUCCAGGCCUGUGAGGGAUGGGGCUCUCAGCGCUUUCAAGGCCUUUUUAAGCUAGGCAGGAACCCUAUCUAGUUUUUUGUUCAUCUGCGAUACGAGGCUCAUAGGACUCUAAGAAUUACAUGGGAUAAAAUAGCCAAGGGUUAACACAAUGCUUGGCAAUGCUUAAUAUUUUUCUGCGGCUUUGAUUACUCCUUCUGUGAUCUUCCCACCCCCACUUAGGAACGAUGGCUCUGAUAGCAAUGAGUGCUGUGGACAGACUGCGGACUAGAUUGAGGCAGAGGGAAAACAUCCUGAGAACAUCAGCGUGGAAAUCCAAGAGAGAGGAGAGUGGAGCUUUCCCAAGGCUGGGGCAGUGGGAGCGAGGGAGAAGGGGCUGGAAGGAAGAGUGGAGGCAGGCAGAAGAGCUGAGAGUGAUUCAGGGGCUGCCAGCCUCUGCAACCAGCGCAGCUCACACUGUAUUAUUUCCCUCUGCCCACCGCUCAGACGAGUUUUGGGCAACACAUUUUCUGCAGGCUCUGAAAGUGCGGCCCUAAUGGAUCCUUGAGAAGCCGCAGUUUCAGAUCUCUUUGCUUUGCUCAGGAGUUCCUUCUGCUUGGAACAUCUUGACAAUACCCCUUCUGUCAUUGCCGGGUGCUGCAUGAGGUCCUUCCAGAAUAUCUUGUUCUUACACUGUCAAACACAGUGGUACCUUGGUUCACAAACUUAAUUCUUUCCAUGGUGUUGGUGGCAAACCGAAUUGGAAUCAAAUUCAGUGGUUCAAUGGUUCAUUGAACAGGUUUGAUGUUGACCUAUGGGGAAAUUUGAUUCCGCUCUCCAAGGACUGGGCUGAUCUUUGGGACCCUCCAGCGAAUGGCGGGAUCUGGAGGCAGGUGGGCAGUGGGGGGACAUGGCCAACACCCGUGCAUUCUGAUGAAAGUUUCCCAGUGGCCCUGAGUCACCUCUUGUGCUCAUCAGGGCUUGUUCCCUGUCCCUUUGGGCCAAGUGCAAAGGGCUCCCUCAAGCUGCCUUCCUCUGUGAGGCUGUGCGCACCAGUCAUAUGGUAACCAGGGACAGUGCGGUCAUCAGUGCAGGAUGGGGCUGGAAGCUGGGUCCUGCACAGCGGAGCAGUGAGGCGCUCGUUCUGGUGAUGACCGCUCUGGUGCGCUGGGCUCGCUUCCAGAGCCCCCUCACUUACUGCACGGCUCCUCCCUUCCCUGACUGAUCACUUCAGGGCUUGACUAUGGCAGCCUCCUCCCCAGAGGUGAAGCCAGGGGCAAAGGCCUCUGCUGGCCAGAGGGCGGCGGUGGAGCCUGUGUGCUUCCCUCUCCGGGCAGCUCCUCGGGGCAGCUCUUUGGUACCAGCAUGGUGAGCCCCGCCUUCCAUCAUUUUGAUUUCUUCCUCUGUGCCACAGGAAUAGAGCCAUGUCAUCUCCAGUUUACGAGGGUAGUGUGACCGGGUGAAGAUUCUAAAGCAAACAGAGCUCAGUGAAGGUACCCUACCUACAGUCUUUGUUAGGCUGGCUCUUUUGGAAACUAAAACACAAUUAAAUGGGCAAAUGCUACAAGGGAUAGUGCACACCUGUGAUCCCAGCGGAGGAAGCUGAGGGUGCAGUUUGGAGCGCAGUCUGGGCAACCUAGGACUUAGUGGGAGGCUCUCUGAAAGUCAAUUGAAAGAGGGCUGCAAGUGUAGCUCAGCACAAAGGCCCUGAGUUUAACCCCCAGUACAUAAGUACAGAGAUAAAUAUAACUGAGCAAGAGAGACUCUGGGGCACACGGCGUAGGAGGUGAAGCGGGGGUAGGUGGAGAGAAGCAGGCUGUGUCUGGGCCCCAGGCUUGUGAAGGCAGAGAGGGCAGAGGCAGGCGGAGCCUCAGGUCAGCGCAGGCAGAGGCUCAGGGGCAGAGGAGCCCGGAGCAGCCCCAUCUCGGGAGGGGUUCAGCUUGUGGGGAGGCCCUGGCUCCAGCAUCCCCGAGCUGUGCGCUCAGCCGAGAGCUGGGAGCAGCAGGGCAGGCAGCGUGGUCUCAGAGCAGGCACUGGCCGCGCUGUGCCCUGGUGGCCGGGGCGUAUGUCUCCCUGUGCAGGUCCUCUCCUGAGGAGACAUCCAGGCUGUGUGGUCCCCAGUGUGAUGGCUGCCCGCCCCCCCCAUCCUUCUUUCUCCUCUCUUUGUCCCCACCUUGGGGAUCAUAGACUGUGGUUGCUCAUUUUAUUACCACAGUCUGCCAGGCCUGCCAUCAACAAAACAGCUCAGAUCCGAGGAGGGCCUACGCCAGGAAAACCGGUGUUUUGUGGUGGUGAAGGCUGGAAAUCCCAGGCCAAGGUGCGGGCUGGCUCAGUUUCUCCGUGGCGUGCAGACAGUGGCCUCCUUGCUGUGUCUCCGCUCCACUCUGGGUGUCUCUCCUGUGAGGUCCCAGCCCUGCUGGGUCAGGCUCCCCUGUCCUGGCCUCAUUCACCCCACCAAGUCCCUGUCUCCAAGCAGAGUCACAGGGUUAAGGCUUCCACCCACUAAGCCUUGGGAGGCAUAAGUGAGUGCAGAACUUUCUCAUACACCUCAGUUAGUGAAUGAGUCUUCCUUUCUGCCCCCGCUCCUUCUCUGACCCCAUCCCUCUCUCAUUCCCUAGGAGCCUGUCAUGUUCCACCUGGGAUGCUAGAGAUGUAGGGACAAGAGAUAUGAUUCUCUGAUUCAACAGGGUCACAGCCCAUUGGGAAGGAGAAGUGGGGGCAGGUGCUACCUGGGGACAGGUACCGCAGUGCCGAGAGUGACCCUGGAUCCUGGAAGAACACAUGAGAGAGAUCGCAGGCCCAGCCUAACCUUGCAUAGGAUGGUGAAGUAACACUUUCUGGAAGAGGUAGCAUCCAAGUGAGCUUUAAAGAGGGGGGAGAACUUAGCCACCGAGAAGGUGAGGAAAGAUCAUCUGUAAAUACAAGUACCAGAGGACAGCAUUCCUCCUCCCAACCUUCUUGUUAGAUAAACAAAUGUACCGCCCAGCUUUUCAGGGUGCCUGAACCUUGCCUAAGCACUUCUUAUCAUGUCUUUUGCAAAGACCACAGUGGCAGAUGGAGCACACUUGGAAAAAGCCCCUUUCCUGUGCUCCGAGGUGCCCCCAACUGCCUACUCCUGAGCGGUGAGUAGCUCACAGGGAAGCAGCUGUCCUGUGCCCUAAGUAAUGGCAUGUCCCCACCCCCUGUUAUUAGGGAACUGCUGAGCAUGCCAAGGCGAUGCCCUCCUCUUAGGAUCUGCAUGUGAAAUGGUCUAGAAACACUAUAUUAAGAUCCAGAAGAUACAAUUUAAAUUUCCCGUGGCUGUGGAGAUGCCGCCAACAUGGUGAUUAUAUACACUGAGCAAAUGAAAUGCAGCAGGGCGUCUUGUAAUUGUGGACCCCAGGCUGAGGGCUUCAGAUGGAGGCAAAGAUUCUGUGCUGUCUGUAGCAGGUCCUCAGCACGUAUUCCAGGAGUUACUCAUUUCAGGGCGUGCAGGGGUCAGUGAGCAGGAAAUCUAGAGAGGAGUGUGCUCUUGAUGGGAACAUUAGGCCCAGAGAGAAGUUCCUAGCAGAAGGUCAUGAUUACACAGCUACUUGGGGCAGAAUCAGGGAAAGAGUUCAGGGACCCUGAAGGCAAGACCAAACCUCACUCUGUUGUGCAGGAAGUGUAUUUCAAAUGCCUAUAAAGCUCUAGGUCCCAUGUAAGUUAGGAAGCACACUCAUACAGGGAAUGAGAAAACAUGGAUUUUCCUCCAGGAGUUUGGAAUCUGGUUACAUCCUAGAAGAAUUUAACAGACUUGUGCGAAAGUCUCUCCCUUGCUCCAGCCUUUCUGUCUUAACGCUAGGUCUUCGGAGGAGGCCAAGUAUUCUGAAUCUCUCACGAUGUGGAGGACUUGGAGCUGCCCUGUUUAACACAUGGCUCCUGGGCACUUGCAGUGUGGCGAAUUCAUGGUGCAAGGUGCUGAGACUUAGAAAAUCCAUGCAAAUCUAAAAUGCCUCACUAAUACUUUUUCCUAAUGAUUUUAUGUUGAAACGAUCAUGCUUUAGAUAUACUGGGCUAAAUAAAAUACAUCAUUAAAAUUAAUUUUACCUGUCUCUUUUUACUUUGAAAAAUGGGGCUACUAGAAAAUUGCAAAAUUUAAACUAUGUAUGUGUCCCACAUUUUAUUCUAUUGGACUGUGCUGGUUCAGAGUGAGAUAAAGGGGCAUUUAAAUAUUUCUUUAACGACUAGUAUCUCUCUCCUAGGUUCAAGCACACACUUAUCUCAUUAGAGUCUUUCUUCAGAAGUUCUUCACCUGAGGCUUGACCAAGCUAUAGGAGAAAGGUGUCCAGAGACCUGGGGAAUGAGUGUGGAGAACUGACAUGUCUUUUGCAUAGAUCCAAUAAAAAACCCCAGCUCAUUCUGUAUUAUGAAUAUGCCUGGACUCAUGCAGACCUAGUUCUCGAUCCUCUCCCUUGAAGACUAAGCACUCUACCUUUGGGGAUCAGUGGAGUUAUUGAGAAAAGUUUUGUGAUCAUCCUUCCCCCUGUGCAAGAGCUAGAAGAGCCUAGAGAUAUGUCUGAGAGUUGAGUGUAGCACUAUAUGAGUAUAGGCACAUCCGGGCCUCUCUGAGCUUCACUUUCUUCACCUAUGAAAUAUAAGCAGUCACCUUACUUGCAGCGUUCUUGUGGAGGUUAAAUAAAAAACUGAGUAUAAAAGGAUGCACUUAAAAGCUAAGAUGAUGACUGUAAAGACAUGGAAAGGUCUUGGUAAUUCUGGGAGGCAGUAGUUAAUGUGAUGGGGUAUCACUGGGAUCCCAGGGGAGCAGCUGAGUUACCCCCAGCCCAGCCUAGAAUUUAUGAGAUGCUUGCCAACUAUUAAAUUUAUAUCUUACAACAACAACAACAACAACAACAACAUAUACUUAUAGUGAAAAAUUGGAAUAAAAGCAAAAACAUUCUAGUAUUCCCCACUUGGAACUAAUGCUUUCAAGAUUUUUGGGGAAGUCUACAUGAUAUAUGACUUAAUUUGGUGAAUUAGAAGAGAAAGAAACUUCUGGCCAUUUAAUAUUAUUUGAAAUAUUGUUUGAAUGCAGAUAUUUGGCUUAAGUAAGGGGGAAAUUUGAGUCUUGAGUAAGAGAAUGUAGGGAAGAUAAGGCUGGAGACAAGUCAGAUGGGUUUUGCAUACAAAGGCACCAACAAUCUUCCCUGCUCACUUUCUUUUCUGGAAGAAAGCCAUAGAAUCUCAACUUUCUCCGUCUCCCCUCUGUGCCCUCUGCCCUUCUGAUUUGAUCAAUUCUGAAUCGGUUUCAUGAUUUGCCCUGGGAAAGGCACUUUCUAACCUAACCCACAAGCCAGAGGGCCCUGGGCUCCCUGGGCCCCUCGUUCCCUGGGGGAAAGGUUGCACCAGAGCCCAGUUGUCUGCUUGCCUUCCGGAUUCCAGCCUUGGCUGCCCAUGGGCCAUUCCUGGGAGGCCCAUCUCGGAGCCUUCAGGCCAGAGUUUGGCUGCCCUUGUAAAGCCUACAGUGUCUUCUCUAGUUCCUGCCUUUCUGGACUUGGGCAUUUUCCAGCCCUUCAUGGAUUUUUUAUAAUGGGCCUUGUCAUAUGUGCCAUGUGGCUGAGGAAUCAGUGGACAUUUUCUGGUUAAGAAAGUUCAGUCAUGGGGCAGGGGGAAAACGAUGAAUGGAGGGUGUGUACAUGUGUGUAUGUGACAGAGACAGCGUGGGGAGAGAAAGAGACAGACAGACACAGAGAGACUGAGUGGGCAUAAACAUAUAAAGGGUAGAGGAAGGAAAAGGAAAUGAGGGAGAGAGAGAAAACAAAAAACAAUACAAAGAAUAGACAGCAGAAGAGACAGAGAAGAGGAAGGGAAACUGGAAAGGAUGCUGGAGUUUCAAAGAGACAGAGCAGGGGAGACAGAGACAGCCAUUACCACUCCAUGAUUAAUACCGGAUUAAAUGAAAUAUUCAUGAAAGGAAAUUGUAGCCACAGACAAAUCCAAAUGCCACUUCCCUGGUAUGCCUCCCCCUUCAUACUCAAGAGAAUUCCUUGGAGAUCCCCGCCCUCUGUCAUGGCGCAGAAGCAACUGCUGGAUGUUAACCAGGAGAAGAAGCUGGUUUCUCUGGCUGUCCUUGGCUGCACUGCAAAUACUUCUCCUGGUUCACUCACAUUGUUCUGGAGAAUGAGGGACUUUUGAGAAAGCUCUUAUCCUUGGAGAUAACUGAGGUGGCUUUUCCCUCCUUUGAACUCUUAUCUGGUUUCCAAACCAGGGUCUUCCUUUCCUCCAGGAGCGGCUGGAAACAUCCUGUAGGGCAGUAGCCACCCUGCAUGCCUCCCUGGUGAGUGACAGAAACUCAGGAAGCUCAGGGUGCUGCCAUUUUCCACUCACCCAGCCUGGUAGACCUGGUGGGCGAAGGCAGCGUCUCUCCAGACCUCUGCUUCUUAUCUCUGUGUGCUCACUGAUUGGGAACCUGCAGCCAGCAAUGGCCAUGAGCAGCUGUCAGGGGCCAUGUGAGAGUCCUCCCUAGGUUGGCCAUGGGGUGAGGGACUGGAUCUCUCCUUUCCCCACCUCUUGCUCCUCUCUCUCCCUUAUCUCUCAACAACAUGGGGUGAAACCAAGGCCACUCCCCCUGGACCUCAUCUCCUGAUGGUAACGUCAGAGUCAGAGUCUGGGAUGGGCCCUUCCUGCUUCCCCAUGGAAGCUCUCCCUUGGAACGGUUGUGUGGAGUGCAAUGCUCCUUUUCACCAUCCUCCCAAAGGGCUUUGUCUUUGUUUUCCAGUCUAAAUUGAUCCCCGAUUUGGUCUGGUUUCUAAAAUAGCGCUACAGGAGCAAGUCAGCCAAUCCUUUAUAGAAAUACCUUGAGCUGCUGAUUUUCUGUUAUAAUCAGGUCUUAAAUGGUUUCCUGACCUUAUGAUUUCUUUGUUUAAUUUUUGGAUCUCAGUGUCUGCAUUUAAAAUGAAGAUGACAGAUGAUAGUAUCUCCUCUUUCACUCGGUACUGGAGGAGGCUUGGGGUGCUCCUCUAGCUAGGAGUCUCACUCCUGAUUUCUACCUCCAAAGCUUCCAUACAUCAGGUACUACCUUUUCUCAUCAUGAAACUGUUGGACGUCCUCUAAAGCAUGUGAAUGAUCCGCCUUGCUAAUUACCUCUUCUGAAGCCACAUGAUUGUAUCUCCCCAUGGCCUCCAUCCUAUUCUGUCUGGCACCACGGCUCAUCCGGGUAUGAAAUGUGCAAGGAAGAGAUUUGGAGGCACAAGGCAUUGGUUGGCCUUUCCUGAGGCUUGCUCGGUAAGGGUCACUGGUAGAUAUUGCCCAUUUCGGGGAUAUUGUGAGAUGCAAAUCAGAAAACAUACAAAUAAUGCAUCGUUAACUGGAAAUACGGCUUAGAUAUGUUUCUUACUGAGCACAUUGAAAUGAGUGCUGGGCAGUUGAUAGUGUGCUCCGUGACACUUUGAAAGAUGGCUGAGGACUAGCUCUGUCACCCAGUGUGUCCAGUCAAUGUGUUCAGGGGCCAAAUGAUGCCUGUUUAGUUGGUCAGCAGGUCUGGAGCAUUUUUCUCAAGACUGAUGAUCGAGCCAGGCAGACCCUUAGCAGGUGCGGGGUAAUUUCAGGCAAAUUCCUUUUAUGGACAUAAGACCAAGGGAAAUGCCUUUAUCAGUAAAGAAGAGGCUGGUUUUGUUUGAAACCUUCCUUAAGUGAUAAAAUCCUUAAUAAUGAGGCCGAGGUCAAAGACUCAACGUCAGAGAUGAGGAGAGAUCUCUCUAUGGGGCAGGAAGACAUCUGGCCCAGUUUGACUGCCAAAUGCUGGGACGAUUCGUUGUUCUGUACUUUUAGAAGAAAAACUGGAUUUAUGGAGUCAAAGAAUAAUUCAGACUUUCUGCUGUCAGAAGAGCAAAGAUGAAAGCUGUGUGUUGACCCUGUGAUCACGUGUUCCGUAACAUGCAAGAGGGCUCCAUACUUGGCAAGUGUGCUCCUGUUUACAUGAUGCCAAUGGAGAAAUCAUGUUAAUCACAUGUAAAGGCUGAGUUUACUAAUUUUACUUGUAAAGUUUCCUUGUAAGGAAAUUUUCUUGUCCCUUCGAAGGGUGACACCAGGGAUGGUAAAGGAGGCAUGGAGGGUCUGCAUCUUGGUUUCCUACGAAGUGUGACACUGUCGUUGAGCUUGCUACAGGAUGAAGGCAGUGAGCAGUAGCCUUGGAGGACCUGGAUGGAUCCUUAACUCCAGAGGGUGGCCAGGCAGCGUGUGAGUGCAGGGAGACAGGCUGGCCUACACGUGAAUUCUCUGCUCCCUGUUGCUACAGGGAUCUUCCUGUAACUGACAGAUCACACCCCCAGGAGCCGAGUUACUUCUCCUGCCUUCCAAGACUGUUCCACCGUAAUCAGUGCUCUGGAAGCCUCAAACCAAACACUUGGCUUCCUUGCUGACCCCAGUUUUCUUCACAAAUCACUAAGCCCUGUGAUGUCGCUCCUUAGGACUUCCGGACUCAUUCCUGUCUGUCCAGGCUGUAGACUCAGGGCCUGGUACUCUGGAGACUGUAUGUACCCUGGAGGCUGGAUGGCAAGUGCUCUCCCAGAGGUGAUCCCUUCUAUCACCUCCGCCAGCAUGAUGCCCACAGCGAGCGGUGCAUGAGCAUUUUUAAAGUUCUCUUUUGGCCAGUGGAGAUGCAGCAGUGGGCAAGAUGAACAGUUUCUGUUCCCAAGAAACCAAAGGAACAAGUCAACAAACAUGGAAUUUUCUCAGCUCUCCUGCCCAAUUUCACCUCUGCAGUGAUUUCUUACCUGACACGUCAAGUUGGACAAACCACUCAUUGCUGACACACCGGUUUUCCAAGGGUGAACUCUCUUGCUGGCGUGUAAUAGCCAACCCUUGUUUGCUUGGGGGUUGAGAUUUACUCACCGACCCCAUUCCCAAUGCACUGAUUUUGAAUCUUGUAAAUUUCCAGUCUCUAGUUUCAGGGUUUGUUGAUGUAACUGUGUGAGUCAUCUGCAAGGUCCGGGGGAGACAGACUGGGAUGGGUUUGGAAUUUAAACGUUACCAAGCCUCAACGAGCCACUCGUUCCCUGAGCAGCUCUGCAGCGGUGGGCAGUGUUCCAGGCAGAGGGGACACAGAGGAUGGAGCAGAGCCCUUGAAGCUGACAUGGUCGAGGGGAAGACAUACAACAAAGAAGCCAGACAGCUGUCACACUGUGACGAGCAUGAUUCAGAUGUGACGGGUUGUCCUCCUUUCCUGCUCUCACUGGCUCAUCCAUUCUUCCAGUUGUCCCUCACAGCACUGUGAUUGUUUGUUGUGUCUUUGUCUCCUCCAUCUGAAUUCAAAUUUAUGAGGAAAAGGCACACUGUCAUUUUACUUCUAAAUUCCCAAUUCCUAUAUGGUGUCAGCUAUAGUGAAUGUGCUCAGUAAAACCUUUUGACACUGAAUAUUUCAUUCUUGGAUUUAUCAUAUUUUUCCCUACUGUUGUUUCCUUUAUUCCUGAUUUCUUAAUGUACCAUUAAAAAAUGUGUGUAUUAAUGGCAAGGAUAUGUGGUAGUGGGAGGAAGUGGAGGGUAGAAGGACAGAUGGACAUGAUCAAUGCACAAUAUAUGCACAUAUGGAAGUAUCACAGUAAAUCCUAUGAAUCG